AUCUGCAGAGGGUCAGUAUUUCAUAUCAUGGCACUAAGUACACCUGACUUCUGUAAAAUGUAUUUUAUUAGCUUGUAGUGCUGAGUUUAUCUCUUCCUAUGGGCUUCAAAGUACAUAAAACUGACUUUUUAAAACUGAUUCUGUCAUCAUUAAAGUGGACUCAGAACAAAUAAAUGCUAACAAGCUAAUCCUUUUCAAAUUACCGAUGCUUAACUCUUGUGUCAAAUGGAUGAGGAAUAAUUAUAUUUUGGGAUAAGAUAUUGCUCUUUUGCAGGUAAUUUCUUCCACUCAUAAAAUUAAACUCUGCAUUGCAAGACAACUAAUUUGUCAAUUUAACAGGACUGAUCAUAGAGCUCAGCUAAACAGAUUUGUGUUACCUACUUAAUGGUUUUUGCAUCAGUUUUAACAUCAGUGAGUGAAACUGCCUACUUAUUGUAUUACAAUGUAAGUGGUUGAGGACUGCAUAAACAUUUGUUUUUUUAAUGUAAUCUGAUAGAAUCAGUGUGACAAGGCUGAAUUACAGGUGCAGUCCAUCUGGUAGGCUUCCACAUAGUUUCUGUCUCAGUUUCAUUCAGAAGGCCUUGAUUGAGUUGAAAAUAAGUCAGAUUUUUGUUCAAGGUGCCAUACAGUGAAAUUGAACCUAGGACCUUAUGAUUAUAAAUGAACUUUUGAGGAAAGAAAUAACUACCUUGGCUCGGGACAGCAAAAUACUGAUGGUAGGAUAUGAGCUAUUUAAACCCCUCAGCUGGUUGUCCUUACCCAACUUAUUCAGUUGAGCAUACUUUUCUGAUAUAGAAUGAAUCACAAUGUCGAAUGAUCUUUCAUAUAUGUUGAUGCACAAACACAUUCAAUGCUUUCUUUGUUUCCACACAAUGCCAUUUCUUUGUUCAAUAUAUUUAUUUGUCAAAAUGAAUAAAAAUCAAAUUGAA